rnacentral:rRNA from 1 species
GACGAACCGAGCGAACGUUGUUCGGAAUCACUGGGCUUAAAGGGCGCGUAGGCGGGCCGCCGCGUCCGGGGUGAAAUCCUCCCGCUCAACGGGAGAACGGCCUCGGAUACGGGCGGUCUGGAGGGGGGUAGGGGCGUGCGGAACUGUGGGUGGAGCGGUGAAAUGCGUUGAUAUCAGGAGGAACACCCAUGGCGAAGGCAGCUAACUGGGCAUUAUCUGACGCUGAGGCGCGAAAGCGUGGGUAGCAAACAGG